GGGGGAGGAUAGGGUCCGGUGGCUCUACUGGUCUUCAAAACCAGAUGCGGGCGUCAACCGUCCGCGGUGGGUUCGACUCCCACCCUUUCCCGC
rnacentral:tRNA from 1 species